rnacentral:rRNA from 1 species
GAGACAGUUCGGUCCCUAUCUGCCGUGGGCGUUGGAGAAUUGAAGGGGGCUGCUCCUAGUACGAGAGGACCGGAGUGGACGAACCUCUGGUGUUCGGGUUGUCACGCCAGUGGCAUUGCCCGGUAGCUAAGUUCGGAAUUGAUAAGCGCUGAAAGCAUCUAAGCGCGAAGCGAGCCCUGAGAUGAGUUCUCCCUGGCAGUUUAACUGUCCUAAAGGGUUGUUCGAGACUAGAACGUUGAUAGGCAGGGUGUGUAAGCGUUGUGAGGCGUUGAGCUAACCUGUACUAAUGGCCCGUGAGGCUUAACCA